rnacentral:rRNA from 1 species
CCUACGGGAGGCAGCAGUGAGGAAUAUUGGUCAAUGGACGAGAGUCUGAACCAGCCAAGUCGCGUGAAGGAUGACUGCCCUAUGGGUUGUAAACUUCUUUUAUAUGGGAAUAAAAUGUUCCACGUGUGGCAUUUUGUAUGUAUCAUACGAAUAAGGAUCGGCUAACUCCGUGCCAGCAGCCGCGGUAAUACGGAGGAUCCGAGCGUUAUCCGGAUUUAUUGGGUUUAAAGGGAGCGUAGGUGGGUUGUUAAGUCAGUUGUGAAAGUUUGGGGCUCAACCGUAAAAUUGCCGUUGAUACUGGCAGACUUGAGUACAGUAGAGGUAGGCGGAAUUCGUGGUGUAGCGGUGAAAUGCUUAGAUAUCACGAAGAACUCCGAUUGCGAAGGCAGCUCACUGGACUGCAACUGACGCUGAGGCACGAAAGUGUGGGUAGCAAACAGGAUUAGAUACCCGAGUAGUC